rnacentral:rRNA from 1 species
AGAGCGAACGCUGGCGGCAGGCCUAACACAUGCAAGUCGAACGGACUCUUCGGAGUUAGUGGCGGACGGGUGAGUAACACGUGGGAACGUGCCUUUUGGUUCGGAAUAGCUCCUGGAAACGGGUGGUAAUGCCGAAUGUGCCCUUCGGGGGGAAAGAUUUAUCGCCGUUAGAGCGGCCCGCGUCUGAUUAGCUAGUUGGUGAGGUAAAGGCUCACCAAGGCGACGAUCAGUAGCUGGUCUGAGAGGAUGACCAGCCACCAUUGGGACGUGAGACACGGCCCGAAACCUACCUACGGGACGGGCACGCAGGUGGGGAAGUACUUGCGGCAAGUGGGCGGAAAGACCUGACGCAGCCAUGCCGCGUGAAUGAUGAAGGUCUUAGGAUUAGUAAAAUUACUUUCGACCGGGAAGGAUAAUGGACGGUACCCGG